rnacentral:rRNA from 1 species
UGGUCAGUAGGUUGGUCGUGCCACCGGUACGUACUGGUCUCACUGAUUCCUCCUUCCUGAAGAACCGUAAUGCCAUUAAUUUGGUGUUGCGGGGAAACAGGACUGUUACUUUGAAAAAAUUAGAGUGUUUAAAGCAAGCUAACGCUUGAAUACAUUAGCGUGGAAUAAUGAAAUAGGACGAUCGAUCCUAUUUUGUAGGUUUCUAGGAUUGACGUA